UGUGACAGUAACUCCUUCUAGG
rnacentral:miRNA from 1 species